AUUGAACGCUGGCGGCAGGCCUAACACAUGCAAGUCGAGCGGAUGAGUGGAGCUUGCUCCAUGAUUCAGCGGCGGACGGGUGAGUAAUGCCUAGGAAUCUGCCUGGUAGUGGGGGACAACGUUUCGAAAGGAACGCUAAUACAGCAUACGUCCUACGGCAGAAAGCAGGGGACCUUCGGGCCUUGCGCUAUCAGAUGAGCCUAGGUCGGAUUAGCUAGUAGGUGAGGUAAAGGCUCACCUAGGCGACGAUCCGUAACUGGUCUGAGAGGAUGAUCAGUCACACUGGAACUGAGACACGGUCCAGACUCCUACGGGAGGCAGCAGUGGGGAAUAUUGGACAAUGGGCGAAAGCCUGAUCCAGCCAUGCCGCGUGUGUGAAGAAGGUCUUCGGAUUGUAAAGCACUUUAAGUUGGGAGGAGGGGCAGUAAGUUAAUACCUUGCUGUUUUGACGUUACCAACAGAAUAAGCACCGGCUAACUUCGUGCCAGCCGCCGCGGUAACAC
rnacentral:rRNA from 1 species